rnacentral:lncRNA from 1 species
GAGUGAAGUGUCAUGGAGCUUAGUACCUGCACUUAAGUCUUAAGUAAUCGAAAGACAGAAUAAUUAAGUCAAGCACUAUUCCUCUUGCCUAUACUUCACCUUUGUUCUGGAGUUUUGCAUAAGUUUUCAAAAAUAAAGCUCAGAGUUCCCAGCUAUUAUACUCUCAAAUGUCUCUAUAUAUGGUAUUUGUGGAUCCUUACCAAAAAUGUCACUUACCUAUAACUAAGGGAAUAUUUAUGCGAAGCUCAUAGGUGUGAAAAACAGCUCAUACAUAUGUUGUCUAAUCGAGCCAUGGAUCCAAAGGAACUCAGCAUAUAAUUAAAUCAAGAUGUGCGUGUGUGGUGGAUUAAAUGAUAGUAAUGGUGAAAAUAUAUAAGUAAUGAUAAAACUUACAUCUCAUUGCUCCUCGUAUUGCUAUCCCUCCUCCUCUUUGAUCUUUGCUUUGGGAGAACAUGGGCUAUCUUUUUUUAUUUUCUCUUUUUUUUUGAGGUGGGUAGUAAAUACCCCUAAUUCAACUGUCGGUCACUUGUCCAUUUUUUUCUGCUCAGGUGGGCAUCUUUGUACCCCUAAUUCUACUCCGGACACUUGUCCAUUUUUACCUCUCGUCUCACUCUUUCUCUUUCGUUUUCGAGGUUCCGGGCACUUGCCCCUUUUUAUUUCCUUGCAUAUUUUUGCAUAACCCAUGCCUCUUCUGCAUUGAAUCUUUUUGGAGAAAGAGAAUAACAACACUUGGGACAGUGAGUGAUAAUAAUAUUUUAGCAGAUUUUUAUGAAUGGUGGUGGAUGGUGUAGUAGAUGUGUGCAAGUGAAUAUCUUAAUUUAACCACAUGAAAAGUUCCUAAGGGUCUACACAGCUUGAUCAAACUCAAUGUGAAUAUAAGUAGCAAAAGAUGUUAUGGCAAGUAUGGUUGUGGUAGGAAUUUUGUCAUGCUAGGAACUCAUCAUGUGAUUUGCAUGUUUUCGAAAUAAAUCUCCAGAACUUAGUGUAGUAAGAACAAGAUAAACAACAGCUCAACUUUAUAUCAUUUCCUUCUCUUACCUGGACUUUAGUUUUAGGUUCAUGCUUCCCAUAGAUAGUAAAUUUCAGUUUUAGUAAUUCCUGGGAGAACUUUAAUAUAAAAGCUAGGUACUUGAAAGUAAGCAAAUAGAGCAACUGUUCAUCAUUUCCAUCAUGUAUCUUUUUAGUCUUUUUAUCUUUCUAGAGAUUAACACUUGGCAGAUAGAUAAAGCACACUUAUCUACACACUCUUUUUAUAGAAUGCAGU